UACGUAGGGGGCAAGCGUUGUCCGGAUUUAUUGGGCGUAAAGAGCUCGUAGGUGGUUCGGUAAGUCGGAUGUGAAAUCUCCAGGCUCAACCUGGAGGGGUCAUUCGAUACUGCCGUGACUAGAGGUCGGUAGGGGAGUGUGGAAUUCCUGGUGGAGCGGUGAAAUGCGCAGAUAUCAGGAGGAACACCCGUAGCGAAGGCGGCACUCUGGGCCGGUACUGACACUGAGGAGCGAAAGCGUGGGGAGCGAACAGG
rnacentral:rRNA from 1 species